CAAGGACGACACACGUCUGUAAUGGCCAACUAAGUAAUUGACUCUCAAAUAUCCCAGCUCAUUCUUCAAAGCCAAUAAGAGAGAAAUGUGUUGAAUUGAAGACAGAAUUCUCAAAUGAAAAGAAAACCAACUUAACCCAAGUAUUUGAUUCUUCGUUCUUACUAAUAUCCGAAAAGGUUAAUUAUUUUAAUCAUUUGAAUCAAGUGCCACCACAACCAUGCAUACGUCACCCUGCAGUUGAUUCAUUACAUAUACCCAACAGUGGCAAGACAGCAGUUACGAUAAAUAGUGGAACUAUGAAAGAAAAAGUUUUUAAACCUUCGAAAAAUUCCAAUCCAACAGAAAUUAAUAUAACCAGGCAGGUUCAACAAUUUUACCCAACGAUGAAAGAAUUUAACUGCAACCAUGAAAAAGUGUUUAAUUCCAUCAAACAUUUACGAUUCGAACAAAUUAAGGAAAGAAAAUAUCGAACCCAAAGCAGAAUUAUUAGAAGAUAACGAUAUAUCACCUAUCAAGUUAAACAAUAAUCUUGGCAGAAGAAAGUGUUGGUUGAAAUGCGUUCUCGAGGACGCUCAGUACGAAAAGGUAGAGAGAUUCGAAGAUAUUGUAGUUACAAGUGAAGAGUAUCGUACGGCUAUGACUGAUGAAGAACAUCGCACAGCUUUAACUGAUUUCGAUCAACUUUUCGGGUUUGGAACAGGGUUAGAAUAGUAAUGGAAGAAUUUUGUACUUCUUCAUAAAGUUCUGAUGAGCUUUUUAGGUUCAAAAAGUAGGGAGAUAAGUGAUGCUUUUUCAAUUAUUUCAGUAUAUAAUAUGUGCAAGCUAAAUUAUUUAUUUUAAAUAUUACA